CAGCCCGGUAAUUCCAGCUCCAAUAGCGUAUAUUAAAGUUGUUGCAGUUAAAAAGCUCGUAGUUGAACUUCGGGGUCUACCCAUUGGUCAGGCUUAAUUGUCUGUACUGGUGAGAUGGAUCUCUACCUUCUGAGGAACUUUCAUGCCAUUUAUUUGGUGUGGUUGGAAAUCAGGACUGUUACUUUGAAAAAAUUAGAGUGUUUAAAGCAGACUAUCGUCUGAAUACAUUAGCAUGGAAUAAUGAAAUAGGACGGACUGAUUCUAUUUCGUUGGUUUCUAGGAUCACCGUAAUGAUUAAUAGGGAUAGUUGGGGGCAUUAGUAUUCAAUUGUCAGAGGUGAAAUUCUUGGAUUUAUUGAAGACUAACUACUGCGAAAGCAUUUGCCAAGGAUGUUUUCAUUAAUCAAGAACGAAAGUUAGGGGAUCGAAGACGAUCAGAUACCGUCGUAGUCUUAACCAUAAACUAUGCCGACUAGGGAUCGGACGAAGUUAAUUUUAUAAUGACGCGUUCGGCACCUUACG
rnacentral:misc_RNA from 1 species